rnacentral:rRNA from 1 species
CCCAGACUCCUACGGGAGGCAGCAGUGGGGAAUAUUGGGCAAUGGGCGCAAGCCUGACCCAGCAACGCCGCGUGAAGGAAGAAGGCUUUCGGGUUGUAAACUUCUUUUCUCAGGGACGAAGCAAGUGACGGUACCUGAGGAAUAAGUCACGGCUAACUACGUGCCAGCAGCCGCGGUAAUACGUAGGUGGCAAGCGUUAUCCGGAUUUACUGGGUGUAAAGGGCGUGUAGGCGGGACUGCAAGUCAGAUGGGAAAACCACGGGCUCAACCUGUGGCCUUCAUUUGAAACUGUAGUUCUUGAGUACUGGAGAGGCAGACGGAAUUCCUAGUGUAGCGGUGAAAUGCGUAGAUAUUAGGAGGAACACCAGUGGCGAAGGCGGCUUGCUGGACGAUGACUGACGUUGAGGCUCGAAAGCGUGGGGAGCAAACAGGAUUAGAUACCCUGGUA